AGUGAACGCUGGCGGUAGGCCUAACACAUGCAAGUCGAACGGCAGCACAGUAAGAGCUUGCUCUUACGGGUGGCGAGUGGCGGACGGGUGAGGAAUACAUCGGAAUCUACUUUUUCGUGGGGGAUAACGUAGGGAAACUUACGCUAAUACCGCAUACGACCUACGGGUGAAAGCAGGGGAUCUUCGGACCUUGCGCGAUUGCAUGAGCCGAGGUCGGAUUAGCUAGUUGGGGGGGUAAAGGACCACCAAGGCGACGAUCCGUAGCUGGUCUGAGAGGAUGACCAGCCAGAGAGGAUGGGCGACAAGGUCGAGACUCAGACGGGAGGCAGAAGUGUGGAAGAGUGGACAAUGGGCGCAAGCGUGCUCCAGGCAUACCGCUGGGGUAAAGAAGGCCCUCGGGUGGUAAAGGCCUUUUGUUGGUAAAGAACAGUCACCGAUGACGACGCCGUCGUUCUGACGGUACCCAAAGAAUAAGCACCGGCUAACUACGUG
rnacentral:rRNA from 1 species